AUUUGAUUUGGGGUUCAUAGUUUUCUCUUCGACAAAUCAACAAGCAUCUUCCUAAAAAUUUUCCUCUUUUCUUUUUUUUAUCUUGUUCUGUUAGAGUAGAUAGUCUGAAAUUUGAGAUUUGGGUAAAUUAAGGCUUUCUGUAGUUGCUUUGCAUAUUGAUUUUCUAGGAAACUUCAAGGAUAUGACAUGAUUUUGUGAUUCAUCUCUCUCCUUAGUUUUAUGAUUAUGUUUACAAAUGCUCUGCACUAGCUAGUUUCCGAUCCCGAUGAUUACACGUUCAACAUAUAUGAAAAUUCCAUCCACUGUGUCAAAUUUCAUAGUCAUUGAUAUUUUCAUUAGUUGCAACUGUUCCUUUUCUUAUCCUUUGUUUUUCAGCAAAUCCUUAAACAAUACCUUAAGGCUGCGUUUGGGAACUUAGAUUUGGGCCCUGGAUUUAAAAUCCUGGGUAUUUCAAAUCCAAAUCAUUUGUUUGGGCCUCAAAUUGGACUGAGAUUUUAAAUCAAAUGAUUUUAAAGAGGUGAUUUUGAAAGCCCAAAUACACGUAUUUGAAAUCCCACCCUCACCCUUCGUAUUUACCAAAUCCAAAUCCGGACCCGACGACUCCCCCGAUCCCGACUCCUCCUCCCUCUCGUUUCUCAGCGGCGAUCCCUCUCGUUUCUCAGCGGCGAUCUCGAAUCUCCAGGACUCAAAUUCUUCGAGACAUGAAGUUGGGCGCAUUGGAGAGAAAAGAGGAGAAGACUUGAAGGAUAAAUAGAGGAUUCUAGAUAUGUUUUCUUUUAAUAGUUUAUGUUGUCGUAAUUUGGCUUGUUGUAGCAAAUCAUGGUUACUUCUUAUAGCAAAUCAUGGUUAUCAACUACCUAUGGUAUGUUGUGUUUUAAAUGAAGGAUUAUUGUGGAGUGUAGAGCUUCUUAUGAGGAGUGUUUGCUAAACUCUUUUGACUCGUCGAGUCUUUUAUCAUGGCUAGUUAUUGGAGUAGUACUCUUGUUCUUUGGAGAUUGAAGGUUGAUGUAGUAUUGGAUGAAGCCAUGAAAAAAUGGCGUAAUAAUAAAUAUUUUGGACAUUAUUAUUA